CCAGUAACGGCGAGUGAAGCGGCAAAAGCUCAAAUUUGAAAUCCUGCGGGAAUUGUAAUUUGAAGGUUUCGUGGUCUGAGUCGGCCGCGCCCAAGUCCAUUGGAACAUGGCGCCUGGGAGGGUGAGAGCCCCGUAUGGCGCACGCCGACUCUUUGUACACCGCGGCUCCGACGAGUCGAGUUGUUUGGGAAUGCAGCUCUAAGUGGGUGGUAAAUUCCAUCUAAAGCUAAAUAUUGGCGAGAGACCGAUAGCGAACAAGUACAGUGAUGGAAAGAUGAAAAGCACUUUGAAAAGAGAGUGAAACAGCACGUGAAAUUGUUGAAAGGGAAGGGCUUGCAAGCAGACACGGUUUUACCGGGCCAGCGUCGAAAAGGGGGGAGGAACAAGAACUCGAGAAUGUGGCGCGCACCUUCGGGCGCGCGUGUUAUAGCUCGUGUUGACGCCUCCAUCCCUUUUCGAGGCCUGCGAUUCUAGGACGCUGGCGUAAUGGUUGCAAGCCGCCCGUCUUGAAACACGGACCAAGGAGUCUAACGUCUAUGCGAGUGUUUGGGUGCAAAACCCCAGCGCGGAAUGAAAGUAAGAGGUUGGAGCCGCAAGGCGCACAAUCGACCGACCCUGAAGUGCUCGGACGGGUUUGAGUAGGAGCAUAGCUGUUGGGACCCGAAAGAUGGUGAACUAUGCCUGGAUAGGGUGAAGCCAGAGGAAACUCUGGUGGAGGCUCGCAGCGGUUCUGACGUGCAAAUCGAUCGUCGAAUCUGGGUAUA
rnacentral:rRNA from 1 species